AAGUCAACUCAUCUUCCAAGCUUUGCAAAGGAAUGAACAGUAAAAAAUAACUUUUAUUCAUUUAAGAGAAUUCACCAUAAACUUGAAUUGUUGUAUUCUUCUCAAAAGAACUGCAGUAACUUUUAAUCACACUCCUGACUGCCAAGGAGGUCAUGAAAAACAUUGGCCCUUCUUAAAUCUCUUAUUAUCGCUCCCUGGAGACUCUGUUAAUCCUUGUAGACCCUGCAACAGCCCUGAAACCUUUCUUCCAGGUACGAAGCCACUUGGAGACAAAGUCUCAUCAAAGGCACCAAACCCAUCAGCUAUGCAGAUUAACCAAAAGCGAAAGUUGAAGGCCAUUGCCCUGAGGCCAUGCCGCCAACCGAGCAAUCACAAGGUCAACAGGACCCCACUAACAACCUGUGUGCGCGCCCAUAGUAAAGGGAAUGCCCAAAGCAUGGGAAGCUAAUUCUGAUGGAAGGACAUAAAAGGCUCCGCAGACGAUGACUUUCAUCCAGUUACGGGCUGCUCCAAGAGCAAGAGCCCGUGCUAGCACAAGGCUGGCUUAAUUUUAAGGUGCGUCCACACAGUCGAACAACGUCCGACGGACAAACAUUGUUACCAUUUCAUAGGCGAAGCAGGAUGACGUCAUAAGCGUUGAAGCGAUGGAAGUACAUCUGGCAACAAACAGUGGUACCAGAUGAGGUUGUAUACCAGUGCUUGUACUCUGCUCACAAGGCAAAGACCGGCAGACAAUUGUUAAUUGGUAACAUAUUUUCCGUCGGACAUUGUUCGACCGUGUGGACGCACCUUAGACAGCAACGACGACUCGCUGCAGAACGGCCCCGACCGACUGGCAGAGAACCCCUGGCAGCAGAUCCAGCGACAUUGCCCCUCGAUCCCGCUCCGUCCGAGCCAGAUUCCAUACAUGUGGCUACUUUUCUUAGCCCAGUAUUCUUCCAGUGCUAAUUUUAAUUAAAAAUUGUGGUUGCCAGGUGACAAAAAGGGUCCCUACUCCCACCCUCAGCCACAAUACUAUGAUAAAGUGACAUAACAAAUACGCAAAAUAUUUGAAAAAGCAUAAGUGGAAACAGAAAAAAAUUAUUGGAAAAUUUUCACUAAUAAAUGUAAAUCAGUCAUGGAAUUUUCCAUGGUCUUAUUUAUAAGGAGUCCACUUACCAUCGGGCAAACUGGCCAGUCCUCCACUGGACACCAUCUCUCCAACGUAAGAGGGAGUUGCAUGUUGUGGAAUCCCACCGUUCUGACUUCGCAUGUGCGCCGUGGUUCUCACCACUACAGCCUACUCUAUACAUUGCCCUUGAAGUGGAUUUCCCUGGCAUCUUCAGUUACUAUUCUGUUAUUGUAAUUUAGUUCUCCAACAGGACUCUGUUUACCUGUCUAAUUUAUUAGCCAUUCUUGUGACUUUGUGUUAUAUAAAAUAUAUGUGUUUUUAAAUGAA